GGCCUGGUGGUGUAAUGGUAAGCAUGAUCCAUCCCUGCCUGUCCACAUUCGCUGGCAGGUGGUAAAUCACAUGGAAGGUGUGGGUUCAAAUCCCACCCGGGCCA